GAGGGACAGCGGGAAAGAGCUGCUAAGGAGCAGGGGACACAGCAGAAGUCAAGCACCUUGUUCCCUGGGAGCUACAAAAUGAAACGUGAUGUUGAAGUUUAGAGUGGAAUCUCCCCGUUCUUUUUGGCUAGUGAUCCGGGAGCUGCGAGCAGCUGCAGCAGGAGCAGCAGCAGAGAAGUGUGGUGGGAGCCUGCACAGGACCAGGAGCCAGCCCAGCUGCACAGGAAAACACCUACAGGUGCUACCAGAGACCUCUCCUGGUGCUGCAGUGUAAAUGCCUCACAGUUUCAAUUUAUGGAUGGCUGGCUGCUUGCUGCUGCUGUUGAAUGUAGAAAAUCUGCGGUCCUAUUUUACAGUUCCAGCACUGUCAGAAGCUCCUAAUGAAUCACCAGGAGGUCUGUGUACACAGCAGUACGAAUCCUGGGCAAUUCUGAACCGACGGCAGCCUUUCAUGGGUGAGCCUCCUGCUGCCUUCUGUGAGAGCUGGCCUGCAGACCUGAUCCUCCUGAAUUUCACUUCAGCCAUGGAAGUAAAAUGCAUUGUCAGAGAAGUUUCCCCUGAUCUGACUAAAUGCUGUUUACCCCAACUUCUUCUUUCAAGCCAUCUGUCAAACAAAAAUGCUCAGCGAUCUUUUAAUUCAGAACCUGCAUCUCAAGGUAAAGGAACCUUCAUGUGCUCCGGGGCAAAUCAUAAUGAAAAUUCCAGGUUUAACAACAUCAUCUUAAUGGUAAAAUACUUAUUUUAUCCUUCUCAAAUGCAUUUAAACUAUGGGCCCUCUAUUAUGAUUAUUUAUGGUUAUCAUUUUGGCUGCUCUGAGCAGCAGUGUCUGGGCUUAGUUGUCUUCUCUGCUCAGGAUGAAAAAUGAAGUUUGAAAGAAUGUUCAUUACCUUCACGGCAUGUGUUGACUGCACUGAUUCUUCAUCUGCCAAACUGCAUAUGCUGGCUUCUGUCUCAUCUGGAGACCUCUGGAACUAAGAGCAAUUGAUCAAAUUAAUUCUAAUAUAAUCCCACACAGACCCUGCUACCACUGCAGCUUGUUAACCUUAUAUGCAAACAGUUUAUUUAAACUAUCUGGAUGACAUCAUGAAAACUACCUUCAAUACAUCAAACAAAGAAUGAAAUGAAAGCCCAUUUCAACAUUUUUUCCAAGAUAUGAUUUUGGUUUUGCUACUUCUUUCUAAAAGAUAAAAUUUGGAAACUGCAACUGAAUUAAUUUCAAUUCAUUU
rnacentral:lncRNA from 1 species